UGCUGGGGUAGCCCAGCCUACCCCUCCGGGGGCCUUCAGGGAAGAGAACCAGCUAAGGCUGGGGGGACCAGGAGAAGGGUCCCCCAAGGUUAGAAAGUGCAUGCAGGAGGAUGCUCAGCAGGGGCUGCAACAGGGGGGCUUUGGGAGCCCACCAGGCAGGGAUCAGCAAGGGAUUUGACUCAGCAAGGGACUGCAAAGCCAAAGUCUCACUUCAGUCUCUAGCCCCGGGGAUCAGGCUCACCAACUCCCUGCAGAGGCCCCAGCAGCAGGGGACCGCAGGCGCACAGCGUGGACAGUGGGUGAUACCUGUUGUAAGCUCUCCUCUUCCCUCUCCCGCUCCCCAUGGCCUCCACUGUCAGAACAUAUUCUGCCUCUUGCAAUAUGGACAGAGUGGGUCCUUAAAAAAAAUUACCUAAAAUGAUAGUUCAGGGUUCAUUUCCAGAAGAGAAAAUAGGUGUAAGGGGUUCUGGGACAGGCCUGCGGAAAUCGGGAGUGAUACCGAGGCUGACUGUAGCGUUGGGGAUAAAAAGGAGGGAGGAAUCCCAGAGUGGGGUGGGGACCACAUAGGACACCACUUCCUUAGGGCCCAGACGGAGGCAGGAGGUCUGACAUCAGCAGUCAGUUGGGAGUUCCUAGGGGUCUGGGGUGGUGGAGAGAGACCUUCACAAGUUGGGCAGGCUGCUCUGCUUCACCCCAGAUUAGAGGGCACCACUGGACACCCACAUGGCAAAGUGGCCAAAUCCCAAGGGAAGACCCAAGGAGCCGAGUUGAAACUGCCCCCUACUCCUGAACUCAGGGGUCAGCGAUAUUGCUGCUACUUGCUAAGCCCAGUUGCCCCUGUGUUAUCCAUUCCCCCUUGGAGACCUAGGGGCAGCAUAGAUUCCCCCCACCUAGGACUUUGAAUGGGUCAUCAUUCAAUGCUAUUUAAUUCCAAGGGUAGCUUGGACCCCAGACUACACAUUCUUUUACUACUCUUCCUACUUUCCCAUCCUAAAUUGGGUCCAACCUCAAAGUUCAAAUUUGAGUCAGAGGUUCUGCAAAUAUAUAAAAUGCCAGAUAUCCAGAUAAAAAGUCAACCUAGAAAUGUCUUUCAUAAAUUUCCUAGGGUCAAAUUCAAGUCAAAAAAUUAAGUUCCCUUGUCCUUUUAGGUUAAAGUCCAAAGGGAAAAAAAAGUCUUAAGGUCAAAGGAUUCAAGUUCAAAGCAUUCAAAGAGAGCUCAGGGAUCCGUCAGAGCCCAGUGGUGUUAACCUCCUCCCCAAGGCUCUGUGCUCACCCAGUGAGCAAAGUGGCCCAGUAGGCACGGGAGGGCUGGGUGUCCUGGAAAGUGAGAUCCUUCUCUCCACCUCUCAGCAUUUUCACUAGCCUGCCAUGUGCUCCAGUUUUAAAAGACCCAGAGUUACUAGGAAUGAGCAGAUGGUGAUAGCCUCAGCCUCCUGCUCGCCAACCACAGGGAAGUCCUUAGAACAGCAUGCACACCAUAAGCUGCCUCCAGGAUCCCGGACCCAGCCCCAUGUAGCCCUCUCUUCCUGCUACCUCAGUACUCCAGCAGGAAUGCCCUGGCAGCUGAUGGAAAGAGAGUAGACAGGGAAGACGAACCCUAGACCCCACAGCAUAGCUAACCAGGUGGAGGGUUAGCAUUAGUCCUGGCGACCACACUGGGGUGGAGCAGGAAGCAACUUCUGCUGUCCUCCUCCCUGAGCGUAUCUGUACAAGCAGUCAUCACCUGCCUGGGUCUUAUUUAUAAUACCUUCUUCCUUUUCAUAUGUGUGAAAUCUCAUCAUUUCCAUUUCCCUCUGUGUACCCAUUGCAUGGAUGUAUUCAGUCCUAAGAGAUCCUGCCCCAGUCAGUGCAGCGCAGCCCAGCAGGUUGCUGAGCUGAGCACCAGGGAGCAGCGGCUGUGUCCCACUGGCUCUCAGGACAUUAGCUGUCCUCCACUGGGGAUGUUCCCAGCCCUGAGCAGCACUGUUUCUGCAGCACAGUUGUCAGCAGUUGGGGACAGAUGUCCACAGCUGUGCUUCCUCAUGCGACUGCUGGCUUGCAUCCCCAGCAUGGCUCAGCUGGGGCCCUGGCAGUUGUGCUGGCUGCUGGCAGUCUUCACACAGAGGGCUGGUCAUUUGUGUUCAGCCCCAGUGCCUUCCCUCCUUUUACUUUCUCUUUGCUUUCCGGCCCAUAUAUUUACUUUUUCUGACAUGUUCCUCUAGAUUUUGUCUCUUGGGGGUCUCCCCUGGCAACAGAAAGCAAAACCAAGCAAUCCCAGGUUUGCCACAAGAAUUGCUGUUGAAACAGUCCCACGGCUGCACCCAAGAGAUGGCGGCCAUGGCCAUCGGCCUCUCUGCCAUCAGCCCCUCUCUCCUGACUGGCUGUGCUCUCCUCAGGGAGGACUCCACUGAGCCCUCCUUGACACCUAAUCCCUACAUUUAAAAAAUGCAUUCCCUUAGGUCCUGAGCAACCCCAGACACCCACCCACAGUAACUGUGCUGUCCCCAGGUAUACCUAAAAUAUUUUCAAUGUUUGAUGCUGAUCUUCUGUCCUUUAAUUUGCCCAAAUUCCCUACAGCCUCUGAGGGCUGCCCUGGCUCAUGGAAUGGCUUCUGGUUCUUACGGAGUCGCUGUCUGCAGCAUUGAAUGCCCCCCCUCCUCAAGAGUGUUCUGGGUCACCUGGUUCCCUGGUGGUGACCUUGUCUGUUCCCAACGUCUGCCCUCCCCUCACAUCAGGGAGCUUCCCUGUCCCCUAAGUUGGUCUGGCCCACUCCAGGGUCCCAUGAUCCUUCAUCUCUGCCCAGCCUGCCUCCUGACACCACUGCUCCCAUUCUAAGGGUAAGACUGUGGUGUGUUUUUCAAACCAUUCCAGUUCCUUCUGGAUCUCCCAAGUAAACCCAAUUCCCUGGGACAGACGGUUCUCAGCACAAGCCAUUUGUAUGGCCCUUGCUAGCUUUGGUUGUGUAUUGAUUUCAUUGUUUCUCUAUCUCAACCCAAGAAAAUAGCAUAUUCUCUGAAGGGCCCUGAUUCCUUUUAAUGCUGUUGUCCGUUAACAAACUCUUGCCUUUCUGUGGGCAAAGCCACGACUUUAGUCUCCCAAUUCCUGGGUCAAAAUGUAUGUAAUAGCCAGGCACGGUGGCUCAUACCUGUGAUCCCUGUAAUAUUCUGGGAUGCCAAGGUGGGAAGAUCACUUAAGGCCAGCCUGGGGAACCUAGUGAGAUCCUGUCUCUACAAAAAUAAAAAUAUAAUUAGCUGGGCAUGGUGGCACAAAACUGUAGUCUCAGCCACUCAAGAAGCUGAGGCGGGAAGAUGGCUUAAGCCCAGGAGUUCAAGGUUACUGUGAGCUUGAUUGCACCACUGCAUUGUAGCAUGGGCAACAGAGUGAGACCCUGUCUCUAAAAAGAAAAAACAAAUAAAAACAAAAUGUAUGUAUGUAAGGCACAAAUCAAGAACCAAGCUGAGCCGCACAAGAGGACUAACUCAGCAGACCUAGGGAUGUGUUUUGUGGGUUCAGGAGGGACCCUCCCCAGUCCCUGUUCUGGCAGGAGGCUUUGGGGACAGCUCAUCUGGCACAACUCCACUGUGGGUGGUACAAGACUCAUACCAGGGUGCACCGGCCCCUUGCUGCCUUCACAGUUGGAAGUGGUGAUCUCAGACCUGGCUGAGAACACAGUAAAGGCAGCAAGCCUGGGCCUGCCCUCCUCCAUUCAUGCCUCAGAGUUUGGGACCCUUCUGUAGCCUCCUCUGCACUGUCUCUGUUUGGAUUAAUAGGAGGCCCGUGCAGGAGUCAGAGAACAUGGCUCUGAGCUGUGACCAUCCCCAAAGCACUGCCCUGAGUUGCCAAAGGUCAUAUCCCCACAUGGACCUUACUUUAUACCAGCAAGGUGGAACCUCCAGCCUGGGCCACUAGUUAAAAGCCAACCCUAAGACCGUAAGGAUCAGCUCGUGGCUCCAAAGCUCUGAGGGGAACUGCCAAGGCCAGACGCCAGCGUGGUCCCCGUGAAGCCCCCAUGCACACACCAGGCAUCCCCAAAGCCUCAGACUUUAUGUGGUUACUUGAGGACUCAAAGCUCAAAGCCUCUGCUGGAUUUAAGGGGGCUUAAAUAGAACACGCCUUUCUUCCCAUUCCAAUCCUGGGGCCUCCAUCACAGUUGUGAGGGUCAUAGCACAUGCCAGAAGGCAGGGAGCACACAGCAAAGCAGGGCCCAGAAAGGCUGAGCUAGACAGGGGGCGCUAAGGAGGUGCUUGUUUAGGGACAUAAGCGCCUCAUGCGGAAACAAGGAGGUGAGGAAGAAAGGUACCCACUCCUAGCAGAAACACUGUGGUGGGAAGCUCAGGGAGGCUGGGGGUGGGCUGGGGAAGAGGCCAACAAAGUGGGAACAGCCCUCCGUAUGGGCCAGUGUCUGGCAAGGUCUUAGAGGGGUGGGGCAGUUGGGCAGUCUUCUGCAUGGCACGGUACCCAACGGUCCGCCUGGUGGUGGUGCUCUUCACUUCCUCUUCACUCCCUUCUGUGCAUGUUAACUUUUGUAUCAGGGAGUAUGAGAUACGGAAAAAUGCAUAAGGUUUAAUAAAUAUACAUAGGCACUUGUAAGAACAGGGAGAAAAAUACUGCAGCACCCCAUCACCUCCCAAAUGCCCCUGGCCAGUGAGACCGCUGUCCUGACUGUGAUAGAAAUCAUUUCUUGGCUUUCAUCACAAUUUUCCCACCUACACAUGGUCCUCUGAACAGUACAGUUUGGGUCUCCUUGUUUUCAAACUUUAUGUAAAUGGAACUGCAUUAUAUAUAUAUAUCUUGUGGCUUUUGCUCAAUACGUUUAUGAGAUUUGUCUGUGGUGAUAUCUGUACCUAUAGCUUGUUCAUUUCACUGCUGUUGAAUAUCCAUGAAUGAACAAGCAUAAUUUAUCCAAUUCUUGAUGGACAUGGGGUUGCUUCGAGAUACAGGUUUCUCCAGGAUAAAUAUACCGAGGAGUAGGAUUGUGGGCAUGUUAGUUACAGCUGAGGGGGUUGGUAGUGGUGUGUCAUGGUGGUUCUUAUUUCCCUGAUUUCUACUGAGGAUGAACAACUUUUCCAUUGGAUAUUCUGUUUUGUGAAGUGGCUUCUAAAGUCCUUUGCUCAUUUUUUUUCAUAGGGUUUCCUAAUAAUGUAAUGUUGACACAGGAGAUCAGCAGAACUUGUUUUCCAAGCACUAGUCAAGACCUUGGUCAUGAUCCCGCUGAUCAAAACAAAAUCUGGUCAGAACAGGAUACAGUGAAGAAAUCAGCUGAAACCAAGAUGGUGACAAAAGUGACCUCUAGUUGCCCUCACUGCUCAUUAUAUGCUAGUGAUAAUGCAUGCUAAAAGACAUUCCCACCAGCACCAUGACAGUUUACACAUGCCACAGCAAUACCCGAAAGUUAUCUUAUGUGAUUUAAAAGGGGGAGGAACCCUCAGUUCCAGGAACUCUGGAUCCCUUUGCUAGAAAAUUCAUGAAUAACCUGCCCCUUAUUUAGCAUAUAAUUAAGAAGUAGCUAUACAUAUAGACAGCUGGUAGUCCAGGAGUGCUGCUCUGCCUAUAGGGUAGCCCUGUAAACCCCAUCCACCUGUAUGGAUGCUCUAGGAAACCCACUUUUCUGUACUCUGUUGUUCUAAUAGACUUGCUUUGCUUUCACUUUU
rnacentral:lncRNA from 1 species